rnacentral:rRNA from 1 species
AACGUAGGAGACAAACGUUAUCCGGAGUUACUGGGCGUAAAGGGCGUGUAGGUGGUUUUAUAAGUCUGGCGUGAAAUUUCUCGGCUUAACCGAGGCAGGUCGUCGGAUACUAUGAGACUAGAGGACGGUAGAGGCGUGUGGAAUUCCGGGUGUAGUGGUGAAAUGCGUAGAGAUCCGGAGGAACACCAGUGGCGAAGGCGACACGCUGGGCCGUACCUGACACUGAUGCGCGACAGCAGUGGGGAGCAAACGAGG